rnacentral:rRNA from 1 species
CCUACGGGGCGCAGCAGUAGGGACUAUUCCUCAAUGGGGGAAACCCUGAACGAGCAACGCCGCGUGGAGGAUGAAGGUUUUCGGAUUGUAAACUCCUUUUGUUAGAGAAGAUCAUGACUGUUACUAACGGAUAAGCACCAGCUAACUUCGUACCAGCAGCCGCGGUAAUACGGUGGGUGCAAGUGUUCGUCGGAAUCACUGGGCGGAAAGAUCGCGUAGGUGGGAUAGCAAGUCAUAGGUGAAAACCUAUGGUUUAAACAGAGAUCAGCGUUUGAAACUGUUAUUCUAGAGUAUGGGAGAGGUAGGUGGAAUUCUUGGUGUAGCGGUAAAAUCCGUAGAUAUACAGAGGAAUACUCGUGGCGAAGGCGACCGGCUAGAACAUAACUGACGCUGAUGCGCGAAAGCGUGGGGAGCAAACAGGAUUAGAUACCCGGGUAGUC